rnacentral:rRNA from 1 species
GACGGAGGGUGCAAGCGUUGUUCGGAAUUACUGGGCGUAAAGGGCUCGUAGGCGGCCAACUAAGUCAGACGUGAAAUCCCUCGGCUUAACCGGGGAACUGCGUCUGAUACUGGAUGGCUUGAGUUUGGGAGAGGGAUGCGGAAUUCCAGGUGUAGCGGUGAAAUGCGUAGAUAUCUGGAGGAACACCGGUGGCGAAGGCGGCAUCCUGGACCAACACUGACGCUGAGGAGCGAAAGCCAGGGGAGCAAACGGG